rnacentral:rRNA from 1 species
CUUGUACACACCGCCCGUCACACCAUGGGAGCGGGUUCUGCCAGAAGUAGUUAGCCUAACCGCAAGGAGGGCGAUUACCACGGUAGGAUUCGCGACUGGGGUG